UGUAUGUGGAUGGUAUUAGACACUUCCUGUUUCUCAUUUCUCGCCAUAAUUUCAACGCCUCGCCACGAGCAAACCGUUUGAGAUAUCAAAAAUCCCCUGGCAAUUUUUCAUCCCCAUUGUCUUGAGAUCAUGUUGACCGAGUUUGGCGGCAAUCGAGUAAAAAACCUAUGACAAGUAUUUCAAAUUCCAGAGCAUAUGCUUUUUACAUAACUCUAAAUAGCUGACUUCCUGUUGGGCGGAGCCUAUAACAUGCAAUACGCAAGUUGUUCGGCACGAUGAGAUCUAAAUGUGUACUGAGUUUCAUAUUAAUAUGUGCAAGUAUGUGUGAGCUAUACAUCAACAUUUAUGACUGUGUUCCAGGGGGCGCUGUAGAGCCCCUGUGCCACGCCCAGGUCCCAGCCUCUGCAGGCUCCUUAAGGCCACAGAUUCCAAAGUGUGCGCAAACUUUCAAGAGUUUUUGAGUAUGUUAAGGACCCCAAAAGCCCCCACAACUUUGACGACAAAUAUGAAUAAUAAACCCCAAAUAGCCAACUUCCUGUUGGGCGGAGCCUAUGAUAUGCAAUUCGAAAGUUGUUUGUAUUGAUGAGUUCUAUAUGUUUACCGAGUUUUGUGCGUCUACGUGCAAGUAUGUAUGAUAUAUGGCCCUCAGCAUUCCAGGGGGCGCUGUAGAGCCCCUGUGCCACGCCCGUGUAUCAGUCUCUGCCCGGCCCUAAUGGCCGCAGGUUCCAAUGUGUGUGCCAAUUUUCAAGACUUUUUAAGCAUGUUAAGGGCCCCAAAAGCCCCCGAAACCUUGAAGAAAAAUAAUAAUAAAUAUAGCUGCAAGCAGCGAUGGCGGGCUCAAGCCACCAAUGCCAUCGCCACCCCGGUGGCAUCAGGUAAACUGUGCCCAGCGGGCACAUGCAUUCACAUUAUCCCUCUGGCAGUGAGGUUUUAAAGGAUAAGGCAGUUAAAGGGUUAAUCAGAAUCAACAAGACUUUAAAAUCACAUUCACAGAACAAUAUAUAUAACUUUAGUGACACUUUACAAUAAUAUUUCAUUUCUAAACAUUAUGUUAACAUGAACAAUAUUUAUAUAGCAUUCAUUCAUGUCAGUUAAUAUUCCAAACUUAAACAUUAAAACAUUGUUUUUUUGUGAUUUUUUUCCAAGCACAUUUUACCAAUUCCAAACCAUAUCAAUCUUAAUAACUACCAUUAUUUUUUAUUUAAUCAUUUAUGAGUGCUAUACAAUAGUCCAGGAAAGCUGGAAGAGAAAAACUCCUUAUAUUCAUGUGUGCAGAAUUAUUGGGCAUGUUUUCUUUUACAGAUGAAAUGCAAUAAAAAAGAGUUUUAACUCAAACUGUUUUAACUCAAAGUCGAAAAUUAUGAAAUACCCAUGAGAAAUAUCAAACACAAAUGCAAUACAGAAAUGGAUAAGUUAAGACUUGACCAUUGUAGAAAAAUGCUGACUGGGUCAUGAGGUCAGAAAAGAAGAAGAAAAAAAAAAACAGGUCAAGAAGAACUGACAAAAAUAAUUGCAAAAUAAUUAGGAAUUAAUGUGAAGAUUAAUUUUUAGUCAAUUCUGCAAGACAGACUUUCAGGAAAGGAGGUGGAAUAAAAAUGAGCUCCUAAAUCUUAAUCCCGGAUUCUGGAAGAUAUAUUCCUCAAACCAUCGGACAAGAGGAGGUGGUGCUGGUCCUUCACGAGUCACUGUAAUCGGUUCAGAAAGCCUAUAUAUAGUCUUAUAUAUAUAUAUAUAUAUAUAAGUCUUAAUAUAUAGUAUUUCACAAUACUUCAUGGUAUUCUAAUUAAAUAAUUUUUUGGAAUCUUAGAUCUCUCAGAACCUGACACAUUG